ACGCUGGCGGCGUGCCUAAUACAUGCAAGUAGAACGCUGAGGACUGGUGCUUGCACUGGUCUAAGGAGUUGCGAACGGGUGAGUAACGCGUAGGUAACCUACCUCAUAGCGGGGGAUAACUAUUGGAAACGAUAGCUAAUACCGCAUGACAAUAGGGUACACAUGUACCCUAUUUAAAAGGGGCAAAUGCUUCACUAUGAGAUGGACCUGCGUUGUAUUAGCUAGUUGGUAAGGUAACGGCUUACCAAGGCGACGAUACAUAGCCGACCUGAGAGGGUGAUCGGCCACACUGGGACUGAGACACGGCCCAGACUCCUACGGGAGGCAGCGGUAGGGAAUCUUCGGCAAUGGGGGGAACCCUGACCGAGCAACGCCGCGUGAGUGAAGAAGGUUUUCGGAUCGUAAAGCUCUGUUGUUAGAGAAGAACGGUAAUGGGAGUGGAAAAUCCAUUACGUGACGGUAACUAACCAGAAAGGGACGGCUAACUACGUGCCAGCAGCCGCGGUAAUACGUAAGUCCCGAGCGUUGUCCGGAUUUAUUGGGCGUAAAGCGAGCGCAGGCGGUUUGAUAAGUCUGAAGUUAAAGGCUGUGGCUUAACCAUAGUUCGCUUUGGAAACUGUCAAACUUGAGUGCAGAAGGGGAGAGUGGAAUUCCAUGUGUAGCGGUGAAAUGCGUAGAUAUAUGGAGGAACACCGGUGGCGAAAGCGGCUCUCUGGUCUGUAACUGACGCUGAGGCUCGAAAGCGU
rnacentral:rRNA from 1 species